UCUUAUGGAUGAGCAAAGAAAGUGGUUUCUUGAGAUGGAAUCUACUCUUGGUGACGAUACUGUGAA
rnacentral:pre_miRNA from 1 species